AUUGAACGCUGGCGGAAUGCUUUACACAUGCAAGUCGAACGGCAGCACGGACUUCGGUCUGGUGGCGAGUGGCGAACGGGUGAGUAAUGUAUCGGAACGUGCCCAGUCGUGGGGGAUAACGUAGUGAAAAUUACGCUAAUACCGCAUACGAUCUAUGGAUAAAAGCGGGGGAUCGCAAGACCUCGCGCGAUUGGAGCGGCCGAUAUCAGAUUAGGUAGUUGGUGGGGUAAAGGCCCACCAAGCCAACGAUCUGUAGCUGGUCUGAGAGGACGACCAGCCACACUGGAACUGAGACACGGUCCAGACUCCUACGGGAGGCAGCAGUGGGGAAUUUUGGACAAUGGGCGAAAGCCUGAUCCAGCCAUUCCGCGUGCAGGAUGAAGGCCCUCAGGUUGUAAACUGCUUUUGUACAGAACGAAAAGGUUUCUACUAAUACUAGGAGCUCAUGACGGUACUGUAAGAAUAAGCACCGGCUAACUACGUGCCAGCCGCCGCAGUAA
rnacentral:rRNA from 1 species